rnacentral:rRNA from 1 species
CCUACGGGGUGCAGCAGUGAGGAAUAUUUGUCAAUGGGCGCGAGCCUGCACCAGCCAAGUAGCGUGAAGGAUGACUGCCCUACGGGUUGUAAACUUCUUUUAUAAAGGAAUAAAGUGAGGCACGUGUGCCUUUUUGUAUGUACUUUAUGAAUAAGGAUCGGCUAACUCCGUGCCAGCAGCCGCGGUAAUACGGAGGAUCCGAGCGUUAUCCGGAUUUAUUGGGUUUAAAGGGAGCGUAGAUGGGUUGUUAAGUCAGUUGUGAAAGUUUGCGGCUCAACCGUAAAAUUGCAAUUGAUACUGGCAGUCUUGAGUACAGUUGAGGGAGGCGGAAUUCGUGGUGUAGCGGUGAAAUGCUGAGAUAUCACGAAGAACUCCGAGUGCGAAGGCAGCUGACGAAACUGCCACUGACAUUGAUGCUCGAAAGUGUGGGUAGCAAACAGGAUUAGAUACCCCAGUAGUC